rnacentral:tRNA from 1 species
GCGGGUGUGGCGGAAUGGCAGACGCAGCAGACUCAAAAUCUGCCGGUGGCAACAUCGUGUGGGUUCAAGUCCCACCACCCGCA